AUUGAACGCUGGCGGCAGGCCUAACACAUGCAAGUCGAGCGAGAGGCGGAGGGGUGAGUAAUGUAUGGGGAACUGCCUGAUGGAGGGGGAUAACUACUGGAAACGGUAGCUAAUACCGCAUACCAUCAGAUGUGCCCAGAUGGGAUUAGCUAGUAGGUGAGGUAACGGCUCACCUAGGCGACGAUCCAUAGCUGGUCUGAGAGGAGGACCAGCCACACUGGAACUGAGACACGGUCCAGACUCCUACGGGAGGCAGCAGUGGGGAAUAUUGCACAAUGGGCGCAAGCCUGAUGCAGCCAUGCCGCGUGUGUGAAGAAGGCCUUCGGGUUGUAAAGUACUUUCAGCGGGGAGGCGUUACCCGCAGAAGAAGCACCGGCUAACUCCGUGCCAGCAGCCGCGGUAAUUC
rnacentral:rRNA from 1 species